UCCUAAUAUAUAUGCAGGACGUUAAUUUAAUCAAAAGACAACAUGUACAGUCGAAACAUCGAGCAACUCUUUGUAGGUCCCUAAGGACCUUCUCACGAAUCUAACGUCAUCGGCACUGUCACUCAUCGGAGGGUUAAAACUAUGUGUGAAAAC